rnacentral:rRNA from 1 species
GACGAACGCUGGCGGCGUGCUUAACACAUGCAAGUCGAACGGAAAGGCCCUGCUUUUGUGGGGUGCUCGAGUGGCGAACGGGUGAGUAACACGUGAGUAACCUGCCCUUGACUUUGGGAUAACUUCAGGAAACUGGGGCUAAUACCGGAUAGGAGCUCCUGCUGCAUGGUGGGGGUUGGAAAGUUUCGGCGGUUGGGGAUGGACUCGCGGCUUAUCAGCUUGUUGGUGGGGUAGUGGCUUACCAAGGCUUUGACGGGUAGCCGGCCCGAGAGGGUGACCGGCCACAUUGGGACUGAGAUACGGCCCAGACUCCUACGGGAGGCAGCAGUGGGGAAUAUUGCACAAUGGGCGGAAGCCUGAUGCAGCAACGCCGCGUGCGGGAUGACGGCCUUCGGGUUGUAAACCGCUUUCGCCUGUGACGAAGAGUGAGUGACGGUAAUGGGUAAAGAAGCACCGGCUAACUACGUG